rnacentral:rRNA from 1 species
GGCUGCUCACAGGUGGUGCAUGGUUGUCGUCAGCUCGUGUCGUGAGAUGUUGGGUUAAGUCCCGCAACGAGCGCAACCCUCGUUCCAUGUUGCCAGCACGUAGUGGUGGGAACUCAUGGAAUACUGCCGGGGUCAACUCGGAGGAAGGUGGGGAUGACGUCAAAUCAUCGUGCCCCUUAUGCCUUGGGCUUCACGCAUGCUACAAUGGCCGGUACAAAGGGCUGCAAUACCGCGAGGUGGAGCGAAUCCCAAAAAGCCGGUCCCAGUUCGGAUUGAGGUCUGCAACUCGACCUCAUGAAGUCGGAGUCGCUAGUAAUCGCAGAUCAGCAACGCUGCGGUGAAUACGUUCCC